UUCACUUGCCCCUGGAAUCGAGCGCGAAAGACAAGACUUUCUUGAGCACGAGGUCACCUUCUCGGAACACACGAGGUUUGACCUUCUUAUCAAAUGCUUUCUUCACUCUCUACUGAUGUAACUGACCAUGACACAUGGCAGUUAAUCUCUUCUUUUCGAUCAGAUUCACUUGGUCGUAACGACUCUGAAUCCAUUCAGCAUCAGUCAACUUGGGACUUUGAGGGUGCUAUUUUUUCUUUUGUU
rnacentral:lncRNA from 1 species